UGGUGGGUAGUUUGACUGGGGCGGUCUCCUCCUAAAGAGUAACGGAGGAGCACGAAGGUUGGCUAAUCCUGGUCGGACAUCAGGAGGUUAGUGCAAUGGCAUAAGCCAGCUUGACUGCGAGCGUGACGGCGCGAGCAGGUGCGAAAGCAGGUCAUAGUGAUCCGGUGGUUCUGAAUGGAAGGGCCAUCGCUCAACGGAUAAAAGGUACUCCGGGGAUAACAGGCUGAUACCGCCCAAGAGUUCAUAUCGACGGCGGUGUUUGGCACCUCGAUGUCGGCUCAUCACAUCCUGGGGCUGAAGUAGGUCCCAAGGGUAUGGCUGUUCGCCAUUUAAAGUGGUACGCGAGCUGGGUUUAGAACGUCGUGAGACAGUUCGGUCCCUAUCUGCCGUGGGCGCUGGAGAACUGAGGGGGGCUGCUCCUAGUACGAGAGGACCGGAGUGGACGCAUCACUGGUGUUCGGGUUGUCAUGCCAAUGGCACUGCCCGGUAGCUAAAUGCGGAAGAGAUAAGUGCUGAAAGCAUCUAAGCACGAAACUUGCCCCGAGAUGAGUUCUCCCUGACCCUUUAAGGGUCCUGAAGGAACGUUGAAGACGACGACGUUGAUAGGCCGGGUGUGUAAGCGCAGCGAUGCGUUGAGCUAACCGGUACUAAUGAACCGUGAGGCUUAACCU
rnacentral:rRNA from 1 species